rnacentral:rRNA from 1 species
GCAAGUAUUGAAGGUGAUGCCUGCCCUGUGACUUCGUGUUUAACGGCCGCGGUAUCCUAACCGUGCAAAGGUAGCGCAAUCAAUUGUCUCAUAAAUCGAGACCCGUAUGAAUGGCUAAACGAGGUCUUAACUGUCUCUUACAGGCAAUCGGUGAAAUUGAUCUUCCUGUGCAAAAGCAGGAAUAACUACAUAAGACGAGAAGACCCUGUGGAGCUUAAAAAUCAGCAGCCACCCCACAACACAUUAACACCCACUGGGUUCACGCUUUUUCAAAGGCUGGCCUGCAUUUUUCGGUUGGGGCGACCUUGGAGAAAAACAAAUCCUCCAAAAAUUAGACCACAACUCUAGACUAAGAGCGACUCCUCAAAGUGCUAAUAGUACCCAGACCCAAUAUAAUUGAUCAAUGGACCAAGUUACCCCAGGGAUAACAGCGCAAUCUCCUCCGAGAGUCCGUAUCGACGAUGGGGUUUACGACCUCGAUGUUGGAUC